rnacentral:rRNA from 1 species
GUCUAUGGCCAUGCCACCCUGAACAAGCCCGAUCCCAUCUGAUCUAGGAAGCUAAGCAGGGUCGAGCCUGGUUAGUAAUUGAAUGGGAGACCACCUAGGAAGAUCAGGUACUGUAGGCG